CAGCUUGUCCAACGUUGUACCUCUAGCAAUGGCAUCUCUCCUAAAUCGUUUGAAUGUCAUCACUUGCAACAAACUGUCAAACUGAGCAAGAAGAUUCCUUCCAGGGUCAAUCCACCCAGGCCCGUUGCCUUCUGAAGUGAUUGAUGUUGCUACUGUGUCUGAUUGUAAUCGUCUGAGCCAGUCAUCCAUCACGACGCAGUAAGAGAAAUCUCUCCUAGUACUACAACAUAAUUUCAAUGAGUGGACUCAAUGUCAAAAGGUAUGAUUUGUCAAGGCAAUGAAGCGUGGACAUAAAUAUAUGAAAUUUUGUAGUUAUUUUUGCAGUUACUGGUUAACAAGUUUCUGUUCUAUAUGAAUCCUUCGCACAACUGUGCAAAACUCUAAAUUUU